GAGCUACUCCACAAGUCUAUUUAACGAGUCAGAUCGCGAGCCUGUUUAACAAGCCAACUCGCGAACUUGUAAAUGAGCCAAGUUUGAACUCGAACUCAAACUCGAGCCAAAUGCUGUUGAGUUUAAGCUUAGCUCGUUUAUUAAACGAGCCUAAAAUUUGAGCUCGAGCUAAAUCGAGCCAAGUUUCGAGCAGUUUGUGAGCAGCUUGGUUCGUUUACACCCAUAGUAGGAAUGUAAGGGGAAGUGAAUGUGUUCAGUGUUACAUAUA
rnacentral:misc_RNA from 1 species